ensembl:snRNA U6 U6 spliceosomal RNA
AUGCUCACUUUGGCAGCAUGUAUACUAAAACUGGAAUGAUAUGAGGAAGAUUAGCAUGCCCCUGCCCCAGGAUGGCAUGCUAAUUCGUGAAGCAUUCCAUUUUGAA